rnacentral:lncRNA from 10 species
UCCGAGUCCUCCUGAUGAGCUGCAGCUGGUGGUGCCCGCGUGGCCACAGCACAGGUUUUCCUCACAGAGCCACUGGCCCAGCUGAAGGUGACUCUCCUAAGCUCCCUUCACCAGCCACUCUGGCUUCCACGCUGGGAAGGUUGACAAACAUGGUGUCAGAAGUGGGAUCUGAAGCAUAAUCAUUUUCAGAAUAAACUGGUGAUUCUUGGAACCAGGGUGCAGUACUCCCUUGAGGCCUUUCAGCUCUCUACUUCCACGGCUCUCCUUUUUCUGCCCUGGUGCACUAAGGGAAGCUAAAAGCAGACUCAGGGGAUAUGUCUGCAGCUGCAGAAAGAUGUAUGGAAACAAGACACACAACUCUCCCUCCCAGAUAAGAACAAAGAGAUACAGAAGCAGUCCAAGCCUCUGAUAAACUCUCCUACCCCGAAUCCUUAAAAACUCACAGUCUGUAAAAGAGUGUGUCUCUGACCUAACUCGGCCAGAAGGCGCCUCUCAGGUUUGUUUUCUCUAAAAUAAAUCUGUCUUGACUGGAAAGCCACCUUUUUGUGUUUCUUUCCUCUUUCUUUAAUUCUUACAGCUACCUGGAUGACAACAUGGACCACAGCCACCAGCAGACCUGGAACGUUAGCCCUUAGACAAUGAUAGAAGGCAAAAGUAAACUUCUAACUUGUUCCAGCCAGUAAAUGAUUGUUCAUUUUCUUUGUUACAGCAGCCCAACCUUACACUGGGUGACAAACCUUAUGGAGUUCCCACACCCAAGAUAGUCCAGGAGAAGAAG